rnacentral:rRNA from 1 species
GACGUAGGGCGCGAGCGUGUCCGGAUUUAUUGGGCGUAAAGAGCUCGUAGGCGGUUUGUCGCGUCUGCUGUGAAAACGCGAGGCUCAACCUCGCGCCUGCAGUGGGUACGGGCAGGACUGGAGUACGGUAGGGGAGAUUGGAAUUCCUGGUGUAGCGGUGGAAUGCGCAGAUAUCAGGAGGAACACCGAUGGCGAAGGCAGAUCUCUGGGCCGUAACUGACGCUGGAGGAGCGAAAGCCGUGGGGAGCGAACAGG